UACAGAGGUCCCAAGCGUUGUUCGGAUUUACUGGGCGUAAAGGGCGUGUAGGCGGCCAACUAAGUCCGACGUGAAAUCCCCAGGCUUAACCUGGGAACUGCGUCGGAUACUGGAUGGCUUGAAUCCGGGGGAGGGAUGCAGAAUUCCAGGUGUAGCGGUGAAAUGCGUAGAUAUCUGGAGGAAUACCGGUGGCGAAGGCGGCAUCCUGGACCGGCAUUGACGCUGAAGCGCGAAAGCUAGGGGAGCAAACGGG
rnacentral:rRNA from 1 species